rnacentral:misc_RNA from 1 species
UUGGUAUCUUUCUAUGUAGAUUUUGUUAUGAACAGUCCUUCAUUUGAUUUCCAUUUUAAGCAAACACAAGAUUUUUCUGUCUAAUUCUUAAAUGGAGAAUUAUGGGUCUUCAUCUUCGUACCCAUACAAUAAUCCCUACCCAUACCCUUAUCGUCAUCCUCCUCCAAAUUAUGCUUAUCCACCUCCUCCGAGUUCAGAUUCAUGCCACCCUCCUGCUCCAUAUCCAUACCCUUAUGCGUAUCCACCACCUGCCUACGCAUCCCCAUCACCACCACCGCCACCACCGCAACAACCGCCGCAUUCAACGAAUCAUUCAGGCCCUUUAGACUAUUAUCAGCAACAUUCUGGGUCUGUUCCCUAUCCAUAUCCAUACGCUCCAUCUCCAAUUCCACAUGGUUCUCAUACACCAUCCCUUACACAUCAUGGC